UCCACGACAGGCGACAGCGUCUGAAAGACUUGGCAGCUGGCGGGCAUGGGGAGUUCCGCCCCGGUUUCUGGACGUUUUCCAUGGGGGGAGCAGGAUGUCGCUGUCUGCAGCGCCAGUCGCUCUCACCCCGCGCAACCAGCUGCUGAGCGGAGCAGUGUGACGCUGCCGCUGAGCACCACCUCUGUCAAUCUGACACAGAGACAGGAGGCCCGAGGCCAGCCAGCCAGCCAGCCAAGUUGGACUACGGGAGGACGGGACGAGUGGAGAGGCCUGUGGGCGGCGCUGCUGCCUGCAUUAUUGCUGUUAAUUAAUUAUUGUUUUUUUUUUACAUGGUGUGCGUUGUGGCGAGGAAUCCAAUCAUAUUCAAGGACAAGGGUGUGGUGUGGAGUGGAGACUGGAGAGCAUCGUGCGUGCCUGGCUCUGGCUCCGUCAUGGAUCUCCGCCUCCGUCUUUGACCCGCUGUGCUUGUCAGCUUUGGAGGGGAGUCGGGGAGACAAUUAAUAUCACUACAUCAGUGAGGAGGAUCAGAGGAUGGAUCGAUCUUCUUUCUUCUUUUGACGGGGAUGGAUGGAUUCAGAUUUGGCGAAAGCGACGGCGACGCCCUCCCGGUCCCGGAUCUAGGCCAGCGAGCGAGGGCUGGCCGGCCGGCUGCCUGGCUGGUGGCUGCUGCUACUCGAGAUGUUGAGGCCCGGCUGCCGUGGGCCGUCCCGUAUGCUGAAUCAGAUGCCAGCGUAUAGCCUAGCCUAGCCUAGGUAGCCCCGAGUGCGAAUGUGCGAUACUGCUACUAUCAUAUCAUGCUGCUGGUAUCUCGUCUUCGAAGCUCAACCUAAACUUCAUUUCUCUUGCCUGUGCUACAGAGAUAUCUUGUUGUUCCCAAAGACAGAAAAAAAAAGAGGGAACUCAUAUGUAGCAACGGUGUUUCAGUCACCCCAAGGAUCCUCUCCAGAAUAAAGUGAUUUUUUUUUUUGCAUUUUUUUUCUAGUCGAAAUCCUUCUUCCUCAUAUAUAUAGAUACAUAGGUUUGGCUUUAAGGAGAUCUGUCCAAACAGGUGACACAUCAUGCUUCUUUGUAAUAAUUAAUCUUAUGGAUUGGCCUCUAGUUCAUUUGGCUUUUAUGAUACUUGGAGGAGAUGUGUUCUUGGUUAUAUGCCAGACAGUUGGCACACUAGUAUGAGCAUGUGGCUGAACUCUUGUGAUACUCGAUCACGCGUAUAUCUGAUUCACAGUAAGCGCUGACAGUAGCAUAUGAAAUAUCUUUAGAUAUUCGAUCAAGCGCUGAAGCAUUGAACAUCAGAGGGUCCUUUGGAGUUACAUACAAAGGACGAUUGUUUUUUGUUCACCCAUUCUCGAUUUAUCAGGGACGCACAUACAUACAUUCUAUACAUAUAGAUGGAUGGAAGCCGUAGUAGCGGCUUUAGUGGCUUAACUGAUGGCUUGUAAUGUGGAAUACAUAUGCGUGAGGUGAGCUCAUGUGUUCAUGUUGAACCCAGGAAAGUGUCGAUUCGUCUUGCACGGUGGAGCACACAUGCCGAGGAAGGUGUCGGUGCACUGGAGCUGCUUGACGGGGAUGGAGGCUUGGAGAAUAUGUAGCUCAUGAAUUCCGGUUAUUCGCAUCACGUGACCUAAAACACAAGAUCGUUCUCCACUGCCUGACUCCUAUAUACCUCUUGAAGGCUUGGUCGCAUUUGCUGAGGAUGUCGUCGCAGGUGUAGAGGCCGGAGAAGAAUUUGCACUUUCCGUGUGAUUGGAUGCAUGGGCGUAUGUAGCCAAGCUCGCAUGAGCCUGUUUUGUACGGCCAAUUUCUAUGUAUCUGUGGAUGCAGACAAAUAAAUCUAGAUUGUAUCGGUACGUGCGUGCUAGAUACAGCGAACCAAAUAUAGGUCGAAAAGUCUGACUCUUCAUAUAUCGGCAACCAAACACAUGUAUGUAUCACUCGAGCUUGCCAC